UACGAAGGGGGCUAGCGUUGUUCGGAUUUACUGGGCGUAAAGCGCACGUAGGCGGAUUGUUAAGUCAGGGGUGAAAUCCUGGAGCUCAACUCCAGAACUGCCUUCGAUACUGGCAAUCUAGAGUCAGGAAGGGGUGAGUGGAGCUCUUAGUGUAGAGGUGGAAUUCGUAGAUAUUAGGAAGAACACCAGUGGCGAAGGCGGCUCACUGGUCCGGUACUGACGCUGAGGUGCGAAAGCGUGGGGAGCAAACAGG
rnacentral:rRNA from 1 species